rnacentral:misc_RNA from 1 species
UUCGGCCUACACUUCCAUACUGCUGUU